UUAAGCGACUAAGCGUACACGGUGGAUGCCCUGGCAGUCAGAGGCGAUGAAGGGCGUGCUAAUCUGCGAUAAGCGCCGGUAAGGUGAUAUGAACCGUUAUAACCGGCGAUACCCGAAUGGGGAAACCCAGUGUGACUCGUCACACUAUCAUUAACUGAAUCCAUAGGUUAAUGAGGCGAACCGGGGGAACUGAAACAUCUAAGUACCCCGAGGAAAAGAAAUCAACCGAGAUUCCCCCAGUAGCGGCGAGCGAACGGGGAGGAGCCCAGAGCCUGAAUCAGCAUGUGUGUUAGUGGAAGCGUCUGGAAAGGCGCGCGAUACAGGGUGACAGCCCCGUACACAAAAGCGCAUGUGCUGUGAGCUCGAUGAGUAGGGCGGGACACGUGGUAUCCUGUCUGAAUAUGGGGGGACCAUCCUCCAAGGCUAAAUACUCCUGACUGACCGAUAGUGAACCAGUACCGUGAGGGAAAGGCGAAAAGAACCCCGGCGAGGGGAGUGAAAAAGAACCUGAAACCGUGUACGUACAAGCAGUGGGAGCCCCACCACCAAAGCAUUCUCUGGUGUUGAAGGCCCUGCAAAGCAGCAUCGCGGUGGCGGAGCGUCGUUUGCGACGCCCAACACACAAAACAAGCGGUGAAUGCUUUGGGGUGGGGUGACUGCGUACCUUUUGUAUAAUGGGUCAGCGACUUAUAUUCUGUAGCAAGGUUAACCGAAUAGGGGAGCCGGAGGGAAACCGAGUCUUAAUUGGGCGUUAAGUUGCAGGGUAUAGACCCGAAACCCGGUGAUCUAGCCAUGGGCAGGUUGAAGGUUGGGUAACACUAACUGGAGGACCGAACCGACUAAUGUUGAAAAAUUAGCGGAUGACCUGUGGCUGGGGGUGAAAGGCCAAUCAAACCGGGAGAUAGCUGGUUCUCCCCGAAAGCUAUUUAGGUAGCGCCUCGUGAAUUCAUCUCCGGGGGUAGAGCACUGUUUCGGCUAGGGGGCCAUCCCGGCUUACCAACCCGAUGCAAACUGCGAAUACCGGAGAAUGUUAUCACGGGAGACACACGGCGGGUGCUAACGUCCGUCGUGAAGAGGGAAACAACCCAGACCGCCAGCUAAGGUCCCAAAGUCAUGGUUAAGUGGGAAACGAUGUGGGAAGGCCCAGACAGCCAGGAUGUUGGCUUAGAAGCAGCCAUCAUUUAAAGAAAGCGUAAUAGCUCACUGGUCGAGUCGGCCUGCGCGGAAGAUGUAACGGGGCUAAACCAUGCACCGAAGCUGCGGCAGCGACGCUGAUGCGUUGUUGGGUAGGGGAGCGUUCUGUAAGCCUGCGAAGGUGACCUGUGAGGGUUGCUGGAGGUAUCAGAAGUGCGAAUGCUGACAUAAGUAACGAUAAAGCGGGUGAAAAGCCCGCUCGCCGGAAGACCAAGGGUUCCUGUCCAACGUUAAUCGGGGCAGGGUGAGUCGACCCCUAAGGCGAGGCCGAAAGGCGUAGUCGAUGGGAAACGGGUUAAUAUUCCCGUACUUGGUGUUACUGCGAAGGGGGGACGGAGAAGGCUAUGUUGGCCGGGCGACGGUUGUCCCGGUUUAAGCGUGUAGGUGUGUGUUCCAGGUAAAUCCGGUUCACUUUAACACUGAGGCGUGACGACGAGGCACUACGGUGCUGAAGCAACAAAUGCCCUGCUUCCAGGAAAAGCCUCUAAGCAUCAGGUAACACGAAAUCGUACCCCAAACCGACACAGGUGGUCAGGUAGAGAAUACCAAGGCGCUUGAGAGAACUCGGGUGAAGGAACUAGGCAAAAUGGUGCCGUAACUUCGGGAGAAGGCACGCUGACACGUAGGUGAAGUGAUUUACUCAUGGAGCUGAAGUCAGUCGAAGAUACCAGCUGGCUGCAACUGUUUAUUAAAAACACAGCACUGUGCAAACACGAAAGUGGACGUAUACGGUGUGACGCCUGCCCGGUGCCGGAAGGUUAAUUGAUGGGGUCAGCGCAAGCGAAGCUCCUGAUCGAAGCCCCGGUAAACGGCGGCCGUAACUAUAACGGUCCUAAGGUAGCGAAAUUCCUUGUCGGGUAAGUUCCGACCUGCACGAAUGGCGUAAUGAUGGCCAGGCUGUCUCCACCCGAGACUCAGUGAAAUUGAACUCGCUGUGAAGAUGCAGUGUACCCGCGGCAAGACGGAAAGACCCCGUGAACCUUUACUAUAGCUUGACACUGAACAUUGAGCCUUGAUGUGUAGGAUAGGUGGGAGGCUUUGAAGUGUGGACGCCAGUCUGCAUGGAGCCGACCUUGAAAUACCACCCUUUAAUGUUUGAUGUUCUAACGUGGACCCGUAAUCCGGGUUGCGGACAGUGUCUGGUGGGUAGUUUGACUGGGGCGGUCUCCUCCUAAAGAGUAACGGAGGAGCACGAAGGUUGGCUAAUCCUGGUCGGACAUCAGGAGGUUAGUGCAAUGGCAUAAGCCAGCUUGACUGCGAGCGUGACGGCGCGAGCAGGUGCGAAAGCAGGUCAUAGUGAUCCGGUGGUUCUGAAUGGAAGGGCCAUCGCUCAACGGAUAAAAGGUACUCCGGGGAUAACAGGCUGAUACCGCCCAAGAGUUCAUAUCGACGGCGGUGUUUGGCACCUCGAUGUCGGCUCAUCACAUCCUGGGGCUGAAGUAGGUCCCAAGGGUAUGGCUGUUCGCCAUUUAAAGUGGUACGCGAGCUGGGUUUAGAACGUCGUGAGACAGUUCGGUCCCUAUCUGCCGUGGGCGCUGGAGAACUGAGGGGGGCUGCUCCUAGUACGAGAGGACCGGAGUGGACGCAUCACUGGUGUUCGGGUUGUCAUGCCAAUGGCACUGCCCGGUAGCUAAAUGCGGAAGAGAUAAGUGCUGAAAGCAUCUAAGCACGAAACUUGCCCCGAGAUGAGUUCUCCCUGAGACUUAGAGUCUCCUGAAGGAACGUUGAAGACGACGACGUUGAUAGGCCGGGUGUGUAAGCGCAGCGAUGCGUUGAGCUAACCGGUACUAAUGAACCGUGAGGCUUAACCUU
rnacentral:rRNA from 1 species